UCAUCAUUGUCUUUUCCUUUUGAUUUUAGUAGAAAGAAAAGAAUAAAAGCUUUUGAUGUACCAAUGAAUUAUUGAUAUAUUAUUUGUAACAUCAAUUGAGAAAGGUGUUUUCUUGUGAUUUGUGAUCUUUCCUUUCAAGAUCUUUUGAUACACUUGAAGAUAAGUUCAUUACAAUGCAUUUAGACUCCCUGAUUUGAGUUACAUUGCAGAUACCUGUGUUUUAGUAUAAUUAACUAUACAGAAUCUAUUACAUUGGAUAUGUCUCGUGUUUAUAUUUUGCUUUUGGGGUUUUAUAAAUUUGAUUUCCAAUCUUCAUUCUCUGUUGACUAUUUCUUUUUCCUUUUCAUAUGAGCUUUCUGAUUCAUAAUAAUGUGGCAUUUCUCCUGCUAUAUUUUUUUGGUCUUAGUUCUCUGCUGAAUUCAACUCAAAGCUAUUGGAAUCUAGCAAUUACAUCACCAGAAGACAGGUUGUCAAGGGGAAAAUGGAACAAAUUAAUGACUACAUAAGAAAACUUAAGCUCUGUUUAAAGUGGUUUCAAGAAGUUGAAGAAGGCCAUAUCAAGGAAAAGGAAAAGCUAUGUAAUACAUUGGAAUCUGCCGAGAGAAAAUGCACAGAAACAGAGAUGGCUAUGAAAAAAAAUGGAGGUGGACUGGACU